UGGCUCUGGCAUCGAUGAAGAACGCAGCGAAAUGCGAUAAGUAGUGUGAAUUGCAGGCUUUAGUGAAUCAUCGAAUCUUUGAACGCACAUUGCGCCCCUUGGUAUUCCAUCGGGCAUGCCUGUUCGAGCGUCAUGUAACACCGUCAAGCAUCGCUUGGUGUUGGGCGUCUGUCUGCCCCUGCAGACUCGCCUUGAAUCAAUCGGCAGCAGUUUGCUAGCUUCCUGCGCGCAGCACCUUGCGCUCCAAGGGAGGCUCCAGCGAGUCUGCAUCCCCAAAGACUUCUCAGUUUGACCUCGAAUCAGGUAGGGAUACCCGCUGA
rnacentral:misc_RNA from 1 species